GUGGGGAAUAUUGGACAAUGGGCGCAAGCCUGAUCCAGCAAUGCCGCGUGAGUGAUGAAGGCCUUAGGGUUGUAAAGCUCUUUCACCGGGGAAGAUAAUGACGGUACCCGGAGAAGAAGCCCCGGCUAACUCCGUGCCAGCAGCCGCGGUAAUACGGAGGGGGCUAGCGUUGUUCGGAAUUACUGGGCGUAAAGCGCGCGUAGGCGGCUUGACAAGCUGGAGGUGAAAGCCCGGAGCUCAACUUCGGAAUUGCCUUCAAGACUGUCUCGCUCGAGGCAGGGAGAGGAGAGCGGAAUACCCAGUGUAGAGGUGAAAUUCGUAGAUAUUGGGUGGAACACCGGUGGCGAAGGCGGCUCUCUGGCCCUGAUCUGACGCUAAGGCGCGAAAGCGUGGGGAGCAAACAGGAUUAGAUACCCUGGUAGUCC
rnacentral:rRNA from 1 species